AUUGAACGCUGGCGGCAUGCUUUACACAUGCAAGUCGAACGGUAACAGGCCGCAAGGUGCCGACGAGUGGCGAACGGGUGAGUAAUGCAUCGGAACGUGCCCAGUCGUGGGGGAUAACUGCUCGAAAGAGCAGCUAAUACCGCAUACGAUCUAUGGAUGAAAGCGGGGGAGCGUAAGCCCUCGCGCGAUCGGAGCGGCCGAUGUCAGAUUAGGUAGUUGGUGGGGUAAAGGCUCACCAAGCCAACGAUCUGUAGCUGGUCUGAGAGGACGACCAGCCACACUGGGACUGAGACACGGCCCAGACUCCUACGGGAGGCAGCAGUGGGGAAUUUUGGACAAUGGGGGCAACCCUGAUCCAGCAAUGCCGCGUGCAGGAAGAAGGCCUUCGGGUUGUAAACUGCUUUUGUACGGAACGAAACGGUCUGGGUUAAUACCCUGGGCUAAUGACGGUACCAUAAGAAUAAGCACCGGCUAACUACGUGCCAGCCGCCGCUGUAACAC
rnacentral:rRNA from 1 species